rnacentral:rRNA from 1 species
AAUAUUGGACAAUGGGCGAAAGCCUGAUCCAGCAAUGCCGCGUGAGUGAUGAAGGCCUUAGGGUUGUAACGCUCUUUCAUCAGGGAUGAUAAUGACAGUACCUGGAGAAUAAGAUCCGGCUAACUCCGUUCCAGCAACCGCGGUAAUGACGAGGGAGCUAGCGUUGUUCGGAAGUACUGGGCGUAAAGCGCACGUAGGCGGCACCGUAAGUCAGGGGUGAAAUCCCGGGGCUCAACCCCGGAACUGCCCUUGAAACUGCAGUGCUAGAAUCUUGGAGAGGCGAGUGGAAUUCCGAGUGUAGAGGUGAAAUUCGUAGAUAUUCGGAAGAACACCAGUGGCGAAGGCGACUCGCUGGACAAGUAUUGACGCUGAGGUGCGAAAGCGUGGGGAGCAAAC